rnacentral:rRNA from 30 species
CCGAAGUUAAGCGUGCUUGGGCGAGAGUAGUACUAGGAUGGGUGACCUCCUGGGAAGUCCUCGUGUUGCACCCCUGGG